rnacentral:rRNA from 1 species
CGAACGGGUGAGUAAUACAUCGGAACGUACCCAGUAGCGGGGGAUAACCUCUCGAAAGAGAGGCUAAUACCGCAUACGACCUACGGGUGAAAGCGGGGGACCGCAAGGCCUCGCACUAUUGGAGCGGCCGAUGUCGGAUUAGCUAGUUGGUGGGGUAAUGGCCUACCAAGGCGACGAUCGGUAGCUGGUCUGAGAGGAUGAUCAGCCACACUGGGACUGAGACACGGCCCAG